UGGGGAAUAUUGGACAAUGGGCGAAAGCCUGAUCCAGCCAUGCCGCGUGAAUGAUGAAGGCCUUAGGGUUGUAAAGUUCUUUUGUCAGGGAAGAUAAUGACGGUACCUGAAGAAUAAGCACCGGCUAACUUCGUGCCAGCAGCCGCGGUAAUACGAAGGGUGCUAGCGUUGUUCGGAAUUACUGGGCGUAAAGCGCGCGUAGGCGGUCUAUCAAGUCAGGGGUGAAAUCCUUGGGCUCAACCCAAGAAUUGCCCUUGAAACUGAUAGACUAGAGUGUCGGAGGGGAUAGCGGAAUUCCUAAUGUAGAGGUGAAAUUCGUAGAUAUUAGGAGGAACACCGGUGGCGAAGGCGGCUAUCUGGACGACAACUGACGCUGAGGCGCGAAAGCACGGGGAUCAAACAGG
rnacentral:rRNA from 1 species